rnacentral:rRNA from 1 species
UACGUAGGGUGCAAGCGUUGUUCGGAAUUACUGGGUGUAAAGGGUUCGUAGGCGGUGCGGCAAGUUGGGAGUGAAAUCUCUGGGCUUAACCCAGAGGCUGCUUCCAAAACUGCUGUGCUUGAGUGUGGGAGAGGCGCGUGGAAUUGCAGGUGUAGCGGUGAAAUUCGUAGAUAUUCGCAAGAACACCAGUGGCGAAGGCGGCUCACUGGCCCGGUACUGACGCUGAGGCACGAAAGCGUGGGGAGCAAACAGG